UGUCACAGUAUUAAGGCUAACUAAAACCACAUUAAGGAGAAACGAAGUUCGCGGGCAAUGGUGAAGGAAAAUUUAAUAAAAUAUUAAGGAUAUCAUUAUUGGACCGAAAAAUCAAAUUAUCUAUUUGCCUGAUACUAAUUAUCAAUGGAGCAGAGUUGUGCCCGCCCCGUUGUACUGUGUUGUAGUUGGUUCAAGGAAAAUAAAAUCGCAACAUUUAUGAAAGAUCAGCUCGAAUGAUUGAUUAGUAAAUUUUCCACCUGCUGUACACCCCAUUGCCCCAAAACCUUACCUUUCUUCCUGCGGCACGUCACUAUACCCCAGCACCCUAGUACCAUAUGAAAGGAACUCUCCAUUGAAGAAGCUAUCCAUCAUCCACAGUUGUAAGAUGAUAUUGACCAGGCAGAGGAGCUCGCAUCCCCAGUACCGGAAUGCGUACAGUUUGUGCCUCUGCACGACAGACAGCCCCAUGUGCAGAGGCUGUUUCAGCGCAGAUGGAUCAGUCAUCCGCGUAGUCCUGGAAUACGUGGCUGUGGCUAACCAACGUAUGCCAGUAACAUGGCUCCAUAAAGCCUGUGAAGUGCCCAGGAGACUUCUGCGCUUCUAGAAGGAGCUGGGCUGGCUUAGUUAGCCAUGACUUUACGCACAAGGUUGGAGGGCAAAAGAAGAGUCUAAGUGCGGAAAUCAGUCCAUCAACCAUUAUCUAUAUAAGAAUGUAAAACAAUAAAAUAAAUGGUCGAACAGUGGAGUGUUUGGUUAUAGUUUUGCGAAAAAGUGGAUACUUUAUAUAAAAAAAUGUUUUGUAGUAUCAAAUUUAGUACAAUAAAGUAUCCGGUUACACAAUUUAUUUCAAAUACGGAAGCUAAUACGCAGAACAAAGCAAUUAAUAUCUUAUUAUUAUAUGCAAUGUGAUUCAACAUUAUAUCCGUAUUGUGAUUCAAUUUAAUUUAUUCCAAGGCUUUUUAAAUACUCCACUACUACCACUAUCAGGAAGAUGUAAAAUCCUCGUGUAAUUUACAAUUUUAAGUAAUUUCGUAUGAAUAUAUUUUUCCGAAGCUAUUAACACGCAUGGCAAUUCGAUUCCCGGCGAAACAACGGGUAAAAUGCUAGAUUGAUUUGUCUCGCAAUUCAAACCAUUCUAUGACUCCGCGUAUGUGAACAUUACAUUAUAAUAAAUCGGUAAUUUGCAAAGAAAGUUAUACAAUCAUCAAUUCACAUCAAUUGACAACGAAAAAAAAUCAGCUAUAUAAAAAUAGGCAGUUAAGUUAAUUUAUCAUUUAAGUUAUUUAUAUUGUCAAAACGUAUGGUCUAACUCUUCCAUGCUAUAAAGGCACCUUGGCUUUAAAAAAUAUCAUACAAUUAAUGUGCUUCCAAUCGAUUUCAUAUUCACCAUUUAUCCAAACUCUUACAGUCAAUUCACUCUCAUACCAUAACGAUCCUUCAUUCGAGAUACAAUGAGACAUUGAACAUAAUGUACCAUUCACCAACUUGAUCCUACCCGAUAUCAGAUACAGGUCAAAUACCUCCGGUGUAGCCUCUUAUUACUCUUAUAGCGAUAACAAAAUUAUAACAUCAAUGUAAUUUUGAUAAAUUUAUACAAUAUUAGACUUAAUUGUGAAUAGACGUAAUUGGUGGAUUUAUUUUGUGUUUAUAUUCAAAAACAAGAAAUAAUAAACAUAGAAGGGGAUGGUACCUAUAUAUAGAUUCAUCUACUCGUCAAAGACGCCGCGUUAUUUGUUUGAAACAAUUACAAUCAAACUAAAUCUUAGCAUAACUAUUUUGUUAUGCGUGAGGUAGGUACGCUGACGCAAUAACAGUAAGGCAAUUCGUUUGUCACAAAUCUGUAUUUAAGUUAAUGUAACAAAAAUAGCGAUAUUUAAAUGCAAUCUCUCUUUCAUUCACAUCUCGUGGAUGGUCAAUCGUAUGGAGCUUCCAGGCCAUUAUCUGCUUGUUAAACUGUUGUAAAAAUCGUGGUCAUAGCAUUUCCGUUCAAAAAUCGCCGAAUACAAUCACAACUAAAGAUAUUAUCAGCAGUACAACGAA